ACAACAAAAUGAGGCCCCAGCUGCCCGCCUACCCGUGCACGUACCCGAGGAUGUUGCGAAGCUGUGGAUCGAUCCAGCGGGAGGGACUGAAUAUACUACCCAGGUCUUCGGUGAUGCUGUUACCUGGGGGAGACACGCGUGAGAGGAGCCCCGGGAAAAGGAAGUGCUGUGUAAGGGGUGACUUCGAGGCGUGGCAUGCGGACCUGACUGUGUGUGUGUGUGUGUGUGUGUGUGUGAGUCACGCCCACCUCCCCUCGCCCGCCCCCGUGCAGCAGCGUGAGUGAAAGUCGCCGCAGCACCCGGACGCAGAUAGAGCACAGCAGAAGAGACAGUGCAAGGGCGUAAAAAGAAGCGCACCAUGAACGUGAAAAAAAAAAAAUGAUAAGAACCCGACUAACCUCCUUUGUGGCUUUGGAAAACAUUGACUGUGAGAACCCAAAGCAUCUAAGAACACGGACCCUGGUGAUACAUGUACUUAUCAAAGGUGUGGGUACUGGAGACAGCAUCCUGGAUUCACUAAUUAACUGUAUACCUGUGGCCCUCACCUGCUGCCGAGACUCGAGAUUAUACAACGCAGGCAGAGCAAAACAGUCUGAGCCGAGAUCCAUUCAAUCGUCGCAUUUAUUAUAUCGUCCAUAAUUGCGUACUAUUUAUUGCUUCGAUAAACGGAUAUAAAAUGAAGUGGGAUGGAAAGACAGUAUUAUAAUUAUAUGUUAAGAGAAUGAUGAGUAAUGUAGGAAUGCGAGUAUGUAAGAAUCUCACCAAUGAAGAGAGAGAAGGAAAAGUGAGAAGAGAGAAAUUAUGGAAAUCAGAAAAGUUGGAGGAGGAGGAGGAGAAAGACAGGAAGGGAGAAGAGAGAAGAAAGUGGAUGAUACGAGAAUGAGAG